UUGGUAGAAGCCAAAGAGAGGCUAAUCACUGUUAAUGAUUUAAUUGAAGUAAUCUUCCUAUCAAG
rnacentral:tRNA from 1 species